rnacentral:rRNA from 1 species
UACGUAGGGUCCGAGCGUUGUCCGGAGUUACUGGGCGUAAAGCGCGCGCAGGUGGUCCAUUAAGCCCGGCGUGAAAGCCCCCGGCUCAACCGGGGGAGGGUCGUCGGGGACUGGUGGACUUGAGGGCGGCAGGGGCUGGUGGAAUCCCCGGGUGUAGUGGUGAAAUGGCGUAGAGAUGGGGGGAACACCCGUGGCGAAGGCGGCCAGCUGGGCCGACCCUGACACUGAGGCGCGAAGGCGUGGGGAGCGAACGGGG